rnacentral:rRNA from 1 species
UACAGAGGUGGCAAGCGUUGUUCGGAAUUACUGGGCGUAAAGGGCGCGUAGGCGGCCUUCUCAGUCGGACGUGAAAUCCCCAGGCUUAACUUGGGAACUGCGUCCGAUACUGGAUGGCUUGAGUGCGGGAGAGGGAUGUGGAAUUCCAGGUGUAGCGGUGAAAUGCGUAGAUAUCUGGAGGAACACCGGAGGCGAAGGCGGUCCACUGGGUCCUUUCUGACGCUGAGGGACGAAAGCUAGGGGAGCGAACGGG